GACGAACGCUGGCGGCGUGCCUAACACAUGCAAGUCGAACGGUCCGGCACUCAACCGACCCUCAGUCUAGCUGUAGGUGAAGUUGAGUGCCGGAUAGUGGCGGACGGGUGAGUAACGCGUGGGCAACCAACCCUGUACAGUGGGAUAACACCGGGAAACCGGUGCUAAUACCGCAUGACACCUAGAUGGUGCAUACUGUUUAGGUUAAAGGAUUUAACCGGUACAGGACGGGCCCGCGUCCCAUUAGCUGGUUGGUGAGGUAACGGCUCACCAAGGCGACGAUGGGUAGCCGACCUGAGAGGGUGACCGGCCACACUGGGACUGAGACACGGCCCAGACUCCUACGGGAGGCAGCAGUGGGGAAUAUUGCGCAAUGGACGGAAGUCUGACGCAGCGACGCCGCGUGAGCGACGAAGGCCUUCGGUCGUAAAGCUCUGUUCUUGGGUACGAAGGAAAUGACGGUACCCAAGGAGAAAGACCCCGGCUAACCUACGUGCCAGCAGCCGCGGUAAUAGUACUCU
rnacentral:rRNA from 1 species